rnacentral:lncRNA from 1 species
GAGACUGAGAAUUGCUCUGCUUUGUAAAUGGAAACAGCACUACUAAAAACGAUGGAAACAAAAGACGUCUUUGGUUUCCCAAGACAAUGGCUAUACUAGACCAAGGCAAAAAAUGUAUUUCACGGCAAACUCGGACUGCGACCCUCGAGUUAUCUGCGGGCGAGUCCCCGUGGAGAGAGGCCACCGAGGCUGUGACUUCAAAACGAGCUUUACCGGAAAGCACUGCUUGCCCACGGUCGGCUACCUGAUGAGGAACGGCGAUCUCACACCUCCCCCUGGUGUUCACCAGCAUUUACUGCACCCUGGCCACUCCGCUGUGCCUUCCUUUGCAAACCUCUUCCUCCCCUUGCUUUUCGGUCCGGCAAGUUUAUCAGCAUUUGCAUACUUGGUUACACACACAGAGAGAAAAUGUCACAGGGGAGGAGAAGCGGGCUCAGGACUUCUCGCUGCCUUGAUUCUGCUGCAGCCCAUCUGGCAGGAGGUUCUCGUUCUGGUUACAAAGCACAAGGGGCGUGGUGAUUCAGCCCGGUGGGUGGGGGUGGGGGGACUGAGGCAGGAGGAUAACGAGUUCAAGCCCAGUCUACGCAAUGUAGUAACUCAGGGAAAAUCUAUCUCACACAAUAAGAAAGAAGGGUUGGGCAAUUGCCUCGGUGCAACCAUCUUGAGUUCAAUCCCCUGUACUGGUUAAAAAAAAAAAAAAAAAAAAAAGCAAUCACAUAAUAGUUCAUAGUAAUUUACAGGUGGAUGGUAUACAUCUAGAUACAGAGGUAGAAGUUCACUUUUACAAUGUUUCACUAAUACACAUAUACCAAAUUCAAGGCACAAAUAGUUUGCUAUUUCCGUAGACGGUCAAACCCACAUAAUAGCGGUGUGAACAGAAUGCGCAGAGUGGGCAGAUUAAUCAGGCUUCCUUUGAGUUGACACCCAAGUGAUCUUCACCCUUAGUAGCUGGGGUUUGGUUGGGGGGACUUUGGCCAUAGGGGCCUUCUCGAUUUUUAAGAGCCUCAAGAAAACCAAGCGCAAAACAAAACAACAGAACUUUCAGGUUUUAGUUACUUUCUUAUGGCUGGGACACAAUACCCAACACCACAACUUCAAGGAGGAGAGGCUUAUUUUGGCUCACGGGUUCCCUCCGUGGUCCACCUGCUCCUAGGCAGAGCCAGCAUGAUGGAGGAGUCUGGUGGGGGAAAGCUGCUCGGGUCCUGGUGGUCAGGAAACAGAGGGCAAACAGAGGAGACAGGGAGGGAGUUGUGCCCUCCUAGGUUGCGUCCUCACCAAUCUGCCUCUUCUGAGCAUACCCCACCUCCUAAUAGCACGUUCGACUAUGGAUUAUUCAUCACUGGGUUGAUCCGGAGGUGCAUAUAGCUCUCAUGUGAUCCAAUCACCUCCAAGGCCCAAUCUGUGAACACAUGAGAAUUUGGGAGGGGUCUAGAUUUAAACCAUUACUCUUCACUAGAAGCAAGAACUGGGGACACCCACAUUGUUCCAUGAGGGAAGGUACGAGCCAAAGAUGAAAUAACAUGGAUAAAUUAUUUAGUGCAGUGUCUACCACACACGAAGCAAUAAAUGAGAGUUAUCAGGUUUCCAGAGGGAACUUUCUGAUUGGGCGCAGCGCUAGGUUUGGGGACAGGGUGCAGGAAGGGAGUGGUGUUCUAGGAGAGGGAUUGUAUAGACCAGCCGGUCCAAUGGAAAUAGAAUGAAAAACAGAUUUGAGCCACA